CAGUUAUUAGUCAUCACUUGGAUAUUUAUGUUAGAAGAUAACAAUGUACUUGUUUGUAUUUAUCAGUCAUUUAUAAUUAUGUCUACAGCUAAAUAUGAAGCGUAAGACGUGUGGCGGCAAAUCUCGUUCGUUUGAUGUCUACAGUUCUCAGUGUUACGGAAUCGAAAAUGCGAAAAGUUCAGACACUAAUCCAGCAUGGAGAAAAUCACAGCAGACGAUAAGCACUUCCUCUCAACUCUCGCUUCUAAGCUCCGAGAUUUCGAGAGUUGCAAAACGGGUACGUUUAUUAUCCCGCGGGAGAUCAAUCACAGCCUAGAGUCAGUAGGAAAAUCGACCUAAACUGCUGAAUGUUGAAUAUCUUUACCAUUAAUAAUAAGACAUGCGAGUAGUGCAAUCGAAAAUGAAGACCAGCGAAUCCGAACAAGAGAAACUUCGUUUUGGAAAAUUUAGACUACUUUGACCUUCCCUGUGUUACCCGUAAGUUGAAGUAGACUCGACCUUUCGGAUACUCCGAAACCAUGUGCCUAAAAUGGGUAUUUGGCAAGAGAAACGCGGAGUUUGCUUUUCGCGAUUUCGCGAACGUUACCUGAACACAACAAAUUGCUGUGUGGAAUACAGGUAAAGUAAUCUACGACUGCUUUACAUCGAGAUCUGGGACGUCAUAACGUCAUGUACACGACCGCAGAUAUGUGGUUAUGAAUUACAACGCCAUGAGACCAGCCUAAUUUUGUAGGCAUUGUUAAGCACAUAAAACCCGGUGAAGUGAUAUGUGUACUAUUUUCAGAAAUAAACGAUGGUUUGUACUUACAA